AAUAUCUUUUUUUUAUUUUUUUUUAUUUUAAUUCAUUUUAUGUUUAUUAUUCCUAUGGAUUUUUACAACGUGUGCAGAAACAGGCGUUAAAGGGAUUUGAAUAGAUUCAAUAACGGGAUGGCUUUUUUGAUCUAAAAGAGCAAACUAAGGGAGGGUUGAUUUAGCAGUUGUUUUGUUUUGUUUGGAAAAUGGGUUAGUUUAGCUUUUUGGAUCGCAGGUUAUCUUUCAGAAAUGCUAAUUAUGGGUUGUAAAACGAGAAUGUUUGUUUUCUGUUUUUGCUUUUAUUAACUAUAUAAUUAAUUAAUUAAUUGUUAAAGAUGUUUAUACGUUUGACCACUAUCAAUAAACAUUUUUU
rnacentral:lncRNA from 1 species